rnacentral:rRNA from 1 species
UCCAGACUCCUACGGGAGGCAGCAGUGAGGAAUAUUGGUCAAUGGCCGAGAGGCUGAACCAGCCAAGUCGCGUGAGGGAUGACGGCCCUACGGGUUGUAAACCUCUUUUGCCGGGGAGCAAAGAGCGGGACGCGUCCCGCCUCGAGAGUACCCGGAGAAAAAGCAUCGGCUAACUCCGUGCCAGCAGCCGCGGUAAUACGGAGGAUGCGAGCGUUAUCCGGAUUUAUUGGGUUUAAAGGGUGCGUAGGCGGGAUGCCAAGUCAGCGGUAAAAAUGCGGUGCUCAACGCCGUCGAGCCGUUGAAACUGGCGUUCUUGAGUGGGCGAGAAGUAUGCGGAAUGCGUGGUGUAGCGGUGAAAUGCAUAGAUAUCACGCAGAACUCCGAUUGCGAAGGCAGCAUGCCGGCUCCACACUGACGCUGAGGCACGAAAGCGUGGGUAUCGAACAGGAUUAGAUACCCUCGUAC